rnacentral:rRNA from 1 species
CCCUUUGGGGUGUGACUGCGUACCUUUUGUAUAAUGGGUCAGCGACUUAUAUUCUGUAGCAAGGUUAACCGUAUAGGGGAGCCGGAGGGAAACCGAGUCUUAACCGGGCGUUAAGUUGCAGGGUAUAGACCCGAAACCCGGUGAUCUAGCCAUGGGCAGGUUGAAGGUUGGGUAACACUAACUGGAGGACCGAACCGACUAAUGUUGAAAAAUUAGCGGAUGACCUGUGGCUGGGGGUGAAAGGCCAAUCAAACCGGGAGAUAGCUGGUUCUCCCCGAAAGCUAUUUAGGUAGCGCCUCGUGAAUUCAUCUCCGGGGGUAGAGCACUGUUUCGGCUAGGGGGCCAUCCCGGCUUACCAACCCGAUGCAAACUGCGAAUACCGGAGAAUGUUAUCACGGGAGACACACGGCGGGUGCUAACGUCCGUCGUGAAGAGGGAAACAACCCAGACCGCCAGCUAAGGUCCCAAAGUCAUGGUUAAGUGGGAAACGAUGUGGGAAGGCCCAGACAGCCAGGAUGUUGGCUUAGAAGCAGCCAUCAUUUAAAGAAAGCGUAAUAGCUCACUGGUCGAGUCGGCCUGCGCGGAAGAUGUAACGGGGCUAAACCAUGCACCGAAGCUGCGGCAGCGAACGUAUCACUUAAAGCGAUUCAGCGGGUUACGAUUGACGGAGCGAAGCGACGUCAAAGCGUAUACAAAGUCGAGUCGGUUUAAGGAUACGUUCGUUGGGUAGGGGAGCGUUCUGUAAGCCUGUGAAGGUGGCCUGUGAGGGUUGCUGGAGGUAUCAGAAGUGCGAAUGCUGACAUAAGUAACGAUAAAGCGGGUGAAAAGCCCGCUCGCCGGAAGACCAAGGGUUC